UACGUAGGCAGCGAGCGUUGUUCGGAGUUACUGGGCGUAAAGGGUGCGUAGGCGGUUUGUCGCGUCUGCUGUGAAAACCUAAGGCUCAACCUUGGGCUUGCAGUGGGUACGGGCAGACUAGAGUGCGGGUAGGGGGUGACUGGAAUUCCUGGUGUAGCGGUGGAAUGCGCAGAUAUCAGGAGGAACACCGAUGGCGAAGGCAGG
rnacentral:rRNA from 1 species